UAAUACGAAAGGUCCAAGCGUUACUCGGAAUUACUGGGCGUAAAGCGCGCGUAGGCGGCUUUGUAUGUCGAUUGUGAAAGCCCCGGGCUCAACCUGGGAACUGCAGUCGAAACUGCAAAGCUUGAAUGUUGGAGAGGUUGGGGGAAUACCUAGUGGAGAAGUGAAAUUCGUAGAGAUUAGGUGGAACACCAGAGGCGAAGGCGCCUGACUGGCCAAACAUUGACGCUGAGGCGCGAAAGCGUGGGUAGCAAACAGGAUUAGAUACCCUGGUAGUCCACGCCGUAAACUAUGGACACUCGCCGUUCGAAGCAUUAACCCUUUGAGUGGCAAAGCUAACGCAUUAAGUGUCCCGCCUGGGAAGUACGGUCGCAAGACUA
rnacentral:rRNA from 1 species